GGAAAUCCUUCAGUGAUGUGCCAACAUCCACCCUUGUGCCGCAAGGGGUGACGUGAGAGUGUUGGUAAGAAUUGCUCGCGACAUCUUUUGUGACACAAAGGUGACACAUGCUCAGCACGGUCGCGGCACUCUUGUGACACAAGGGUGCCCAAGCUUCCUGGAAGUCAUGCCUCUUGAAAUUUUCAUGUGCGAUACUUUGCACUUCCCACAGCAUGACCUAAAAUGCUCCAAUAUACCUCAACAUGUACCUACAUAUAUAAAAUAUACCAACAAAAGCUUAAAUUCAACAAAUUAGGAUUAAAGGUGUGACU
rnacentral:lncRNA from 1 species